UCGGCGUAGAUCUUUCCUUCUUCUACCUCGAUAUAUAAACGAAGGAAGAAAAUAGAAAUAAAAAAAAAGGAAAAUGGAAAAAAAAAAUAAUAAUAAUAAUAAAAAAAAAAAAAGGAAAAAAAGAAACUGCGAGCUUUUCUCCUUCGCGAGUUCUUUGUUAUUAAAAAAGAUAUACUGUUUCUGCGCGCGCGUGUAUGUGUAUAUGUGUAUAUGUUUAUGUGUGCGUGCGUGCUUGUCGGGUACGCCUGUGUAUAAUAAAAGGAGAGAAAAAUAGAAAAGAAAAAAGGUUGAGAGAGAGAGAAAGAAGGAGAAGGAGAAAGCCUUGCCGGCCUAGAAUUAGCUUUCGAUCGAGCGUUAAAAUAUUGUCGAGCUUUACGAGCUAUUACCAAAUUAAUUAUCCGCGAUCGUAUUUCGCGCAUCGCAUUUAUAUAUAUAUAUAUAUAUAUAUAUAUAUAUAUAUAUAUAUAUAUAGAGAGAGAGAGAGAGAGAGAGAGAGAGAAAGAGGGUCGAAAAGUCAACGACGAAGCCAAGUUUGAGAGCAGAUUGCUGUCUUCCCGAAGCUUAAGGAUAUAUUCGUAGUAAAUGGCACUUGGUUGUUGCUCUGGAUCUUAAACCUGCUAAAGAAGGAAAGAUAAAGAAAGAAAGAAGAAAAAAAAAAGCACCCAAGAGUACUCGAG